GACAGAGGGUGCAAACGUUGUUCGGAAUUACUGGGCGUAAAGCGCGUGUAGGCGGCUUUGUAAGUCGGAUGUGAAAGCCCCGGGCUCAACCCGGGAAGUGCACUCGAUACUGCGAAGCUUGAGUACUGGAGAGGUUGGUGGAAUUCUCGGUGUAGAGGUGAAAUUCGUAGAUAUCGAGAGGAACACCGGUGGCGAAGGCGGGUCUCUGGGCCGAUACUGACACUGAGGAGCGAAAGCGUGGGGAGCGAACAGG
rnacentral:rRNA from 1 species